UACGGAGGGUGCUAGCGUUAUCCGGAUUUACUGGGUUUAAAGGGUGCGUAGGCGGCCUUGCAAGUCAGUGGUGAAAGCCUGAUGCUCAACGUCAGAAAUGCCAUUGAUACUGCUAGGCUAGAGUAAAGGAUAGGUAGGCAGAAUUCGUAGUGUAGCGGUGAAAUGCAUAGAUACUACGAGGAAUCCCAAUAGCGUAGGCAGCUUGCUAGCCUUUUACUGACGCUGAGGCACGAAAGCUUGGGGAGCAAACAGG
rnacentral:rRNA from 1 species